GUAAACGGCGGCCGUAACUAUAACGGUCCUAAGGUAGCGAAAUUCCUUGUCGGGUAAGUUCCGACCCGCACGAAUGGCGUAACGAUGGCCACACUGUCUCCUCCCGAGACUCAGCGAAGUUGAAAUGGUUGUGAAGAUGCAAUCUCCCCGCUGCUAGACGGAAAGACCCCGUGAACCUUUACUGUAGCUUUGCAUUGGACUUUGAAGUCACUUGUGUAGGAUAGGUGGGAGGCUUUGAAGCAGAGACGCCAGUCUCUGUGGAGCCGUCCUUGAAAUACCACCCUGGUGUCUUUGAGGUUCUAACCCAGACCCGUAAUCCGGGUCGGGGACCGUGCAUGGUAGGCAGUUUGACUGGGGCGGUCUCCUCCCAAAGAGUAACGGAGGAGUUCGAAGGUUACCUAGGUCCGGUCGGAAAUCGGACUGAUAGUGCAAUGGCAAAAGGUAGCUUAACUGCGAGACCGACAAGUCGAGCAGGUGCGAAAGCAGGACAUAGUGAUCCGGUGGUUCUGUAUGGAAGGGCCAUCGCUCAACGGAUAAAAGGUACUCCGGGGAUAACAGGCUGAUUCCGCCCAAGAGUUCAUAUCGACGGCGGAGUUUGGCACCUCGAUGUCGGCUCAUCACAUCCUGGGGCUGUAGUCGGUCCCAAGGGUAUGGCUGUUCGCCAUUUAAAGUGGUACGUGAGCUGGGUUUAAAACGUCGUGAGACAGUUUGGUCCCUAUCUGCAGUGGGCGUUGGAAGUUUGACGGGGGCUGCUCCUAGUACGAGAGGACCGGAGUGGACGAACCUCUGGUGUACCGGUUGUAACGCCAGUUGCAUAGCCGGGUAGCUAAGUUCGGAAGAGAUAAGCGCUGAAAGCAUCUAAGCGCGAAACUCGCCUGAAGAUGAGACUUCCCUUGUGGUUUAACCACACUAAAGAGUCGUUCGAGACCAGGACGUUGAUAGGUGGGGUGUGGAAGCGCGGUAACGCGUGAAGCUAACCCAUACUAAUUGCUCGUGAGGCUUGACUCU
rnacentral:rRNA from 1 species